AUUGAACGCUGGCGGCAGGCCUAACACAUGCAAGUCGAGCGGAUGAAGGGAGCUUGCUCCUGGAUUCAGCGGCGGACGGGUGAGUAAUGCCUAGGAAUCUGCCUGGUAGUGGGGGAUAACGUCCGGAAACGGGCGCUAAUACCGCAUACGUCCUGAGGGAGAAAGUGGGGGAUCUUCGGACCUCACGCUAUCAGAUGAGCCUAGGUCGGAGUAGCUAGUUGGUGGGGUAAAGGCCUACCAAGGCGACGAUCCGUAACUGGUCUGAGAGGAUGAUCAGUCACACGGGAACUGAGACACGGUCCAGACUCCUAAGGGAGGCAGCAGUGGGGAAUAUUGGACAGAGGGCGAAAGCAUGAUCCAGCCAUGCCGCGUGUGUGAAGAAGGUCUUCGGAUUGUAAAGCACGUUAAGUGGGGAGGAAGGGCAGUAAGUUAAUACCUAGCUGUUGUGACGGUACCAACAGAAUAAGCACCGGCUAACUUCGUG
rnacentral:rRNA from 1 species